GUUGGGUAGGGGAGCGUUCUGUAAGCCUGCGAAGGUGUGCUGUGAGGUAUGCUGGAGGUAUCAGAAGUGCGAAUGCUGACAUAAGUAACGAUAAUGCGGGUGAAAAACCCGCACGCCGGAAGACCAAGGGUUCCUGUCCAACGUUAAUCGGGGCAGGGUGAGUCGACCCCUAAGGCGAGGCUGAAAAGCGUAGUCGAUGGGAAACGGGUUAAUAUUCCCGUACUGGUGGUAACUGCGAUGGGGGAACGGAGAAGGCUAGGUUGUCCGGGCGACGGUCGUCCCGGUUCAAGCAGGUAGGCAGAGUGAUUAGGCAAAUCCGGUCACUUAAUGCUGAGAUGUGAUGACGAACCACCAAGGUGGUGAAGCAAUUGAUGCCCCGCUUCCAGGAAAAGCCUCUAAGCUUCAGGUUACCAACAAUCGUACCCCAAACCGACACAGGUGGUCAGGUAGAGAAUACUCAGGCGCUUGAGAGAACUCGGGUGAAGGAACUAGGCAAAAUGGUGCCGUAACUUCGGGAGAAGGCACGCUGGCGGUAGGUAAAGUCCCUUGCGGACGGCGCUGAAGCCAGUCGAAGAUACCAGCUGGCUGCAACUGUUUAUUAAAAACACAGCACUGUGCAAACACGAAAGUGGACGUAUACGGUGUGACGCCUGCCCGGUGCUGGAAGGUUAAUUGAUGGGGUUAGCGCAAGCGAAGCUCCUGAUCGAAGCCCCAGUAAACGGCGGCCGUAACUAUAACGGUCCUAAGGUAGCGAAAUUCCUUGUCGGGUAAGUUCCGACCUGCACGAAUGGCGUAAUGAUGGCCAGGCUGUCUCCACCCGAGACUCAGUGAAAUUGAACUCGCUGUGAAGAUGCAGUGUACCCGCGGCAAGACGGAAAGACCCCGUGAACCUUUACUAUAGCUUGACACUGAACAUUGAGCCUUGAUGUGUAGGAUAGGUGGGAGGCUUUGAAGUGUGGACGCCAGUCUGCAUGGAGCCAACCUUGAAAUACCACCCUUUAACGUUUGAUGUUCUAACCUAGGCCCAUAAACUGGGUCGGGGACCGUGUCUGGUGGGUAGUUUGACUGGGGCGGUCUCCUCCUAAAGAGUAACGGAGGAGCACGAAGGUUGGCUAAGCAUGGUCGGACAUCAUGCGGUUAGUGCAAAGGCAUAAGCCAGCUUGACUGCGAGAGUGACGGCUCGAGCAGGUACGAAAGUAGGUCUUAGUGAUCCGGUGGUUCUGAAUGGAAGGGCCAUCGCUCAACGGAUAAAAGGUACUCCGGGGAUAACAGGCUGAUACCGCCCAAGAGUUCAUAUCGACGGCGGUGUUUGGCACCUCGAUGUCGGCUCAUCACAUCCUGGGGCUGAAGUAGGUCCCAAGGGUAUGGCUGUUCGCCAUUUAAAGUGGUACGCGAGCUGGGUUUAGAACGUCGUGAGACAGUUCGGUCCCUAUCUGCCGUGGGCGUUGGAAGAUUGAGAGGGGUUGCUCCUAGUACGAGAGGACCGGAGUGAACGCACCACUGGUGUUCGGGUUGUCAUGCCAAUGGCAUUGCCCGGUAGCUAAGUGCGGAAGAGAUAACCGCUGAAAGCAUCUAAGCGGGAAACUUGCCUCGAGAUGAGUCUUCCCUGUCGCUUUAAGCGACCUAAAGGAACGUUUAAGACUAAGACGUUGAUAGGCUGGGUGUGUAAGCGUAGCGAUACGUUGAGCUAACCAGUACUAAUGAACCGUGAGGCUUAACCUG
rnacentral:rRNA from 1 species